rnacentral:rRNA from 1 species
UACAGAGGUCUCAAGCGUUGUUCGGAUUCAUUGGGCGUAAAGGGUGCGUAGGUGGCGCUGUAAGUCAGGUGUGAAAUUUCGAGGCUUAACCUCGAAACUGCAUUUGAUACUGCGGUGCUUGAGGACUGGAGAGGAGACUGGAAUUCAUGGUGUAGCAGUGAAAUGCGUAGAGAUCAUGAGGAAGACCAGUGGCGAAGGCGGGUCUCUGGACAGUUCCUGACACUGAGACACGAAGGCCAGGGGAGCAAACGGG